rnacentral:rRNA from 1 species
GUCUGGGAAACUGCCCGAUGGAGGGGGAUAACUACUGGAAACGGUAGCUAAUACCGCAUAACGUCGCAAGACCAAAGAGGGGGACCUUCGGGCCUCUUGCCAUCGGAUGUGCCCAGAUGGGAUUAGCUAGUAGGUGGGGUAACGGCUCACCUAGGCGACGAUCCCUAGCUGGUCUGAGAGGAUGACCAGCCACACUGGAACUGAGACACGGUCCAGACUCCUACGGGAGGCAGCAGUGGGGAAUAUUGCACAAUGGGCGCAAGCCUGAUGCAGCCAUGCCGCGUGUAUGAAGAAGGCCUUCGGGUUGUAAAGUACUUUCAGCGAGGAGGAAGGCGUUGUGGUUAAUAACCGCAGCAAUUGACGUUACUCGCAGAAGAAGCACCGGCUAACUCCGUGCCAGCAGCCGCGGUAAUACGGAGGGUGCAAGCGUUAAUCGGAAUUACUGGGCGUAAAGCGCACGCAGGCGGUCUGUCAAGUCGGAUGUGAAAUCCCCGGGCUUCAACCCUGGGAAACUGCAUCCGAAACUGGCCAGGCUAGGAGUCUAUAAGGA